CCACCAUAAUCAGGAGGCCUCCCCAACCAUGUGAAACUGAAAAAGAGGAGGUGGAGCAAGAUAGCAGAAUAGAAGGCUCUACCAGCCAUCCCCCCAACAAGAGCACCAAUUUAACAACUAUCUACACAAGAAAAGCACCUUCAUAGGAACCAAAAAUCAGUGGGAGACAUGAAAUUAUCCAGGAAUGGCAAUUUGACCACAAAAUACAUGAACAGAUGGUUCUUGCAUUUGAAUGGGAAAAGACGCUGCCUAGAUAACACAAAGAAUUUUUAUAUACUGUAAUUGGACAAUAAACAAAUAUUCCAUCUUGAAUUGGAGAACAUUGUGACUCAUAGUGACUUUUGGAUGCAUUUGGAUUUCUUGGAUGUUGUAAGGAGCUGGUGAAGAUCCUGCACAAGGCACUGGAGGCCGCCCAGCAGGAGAAGAGGGCAUCCAGCGCAUACCUGGCGGUGGCUGAGGACAAGGACUGGCUGGAGCUGGUGCAGGACAAAGUGCGGCAGAUCGUGGAGCUGGGCGGGCGGGUGGAGGCCCUGGAGCAGGAGCGGGAGAGCCUGGCACACACAGCGAACCUGCGGGAGCAGGAGGUGCAGUAACUACAGAAGAACGUGCAGCUGCUUAUGGACAAGAACCACGCCAAGCAGCAGGUCAUCUGCAAGCUCUCUGAAAAGGUCACCCAGGGCUUCACGCAACCCCCUGACCAGUCUCCUUUGCCCCCCGACGCUGCCGACAGGGACUUCCUGAGCCAGCAGGAGAAGAUAGAGCACCUAAAGCACUUCUCCUUCCUGCUGCCACAUGAAGAAGGACAUGUU